rnacentral:rRNA from 1 species
GACGAACGCUGGCGGCGUGCUUAACACAUGCAAGUCGAGCGGUAAGGCCCUUUCGGGGGUACACGAGCGGCGAACGGGUGAGUAACAUGUGGGUGACCUGCCCUCAGCUCUGGGAUAAGCCUGGGAAACUGGGUCUAAUACUGGAUAUGACUCCACGGUGCAUGUCGUGGGGUGGAAAGCCUUGUGCGGCUGAGGAUGGGCCCGCGGCCUAUCAGCUUGUUGUGGGGUGAUGGCCUACCAAGGCGACGACGGUAGCCGGCCUGAGAGGCGACCGGCCACACUGGGACUGAGACACGGCCCAGGACUCCUACGGGAGGCAGGCAGUGGGGAAUCUUGCGCAAUGGGCGAAAGCCUGACGCAGCGACGCCGCGUGA